UCGCUGUUCCCUGCGGUCCCGCCAUCUUGGCCAUGGGGUGAGGGGAGGAGGGCUGUUUCAAAGCCUUGUGUUGACCAAGUGUGGUCUGAGGUGCUCGGGGAUGUAGUGCCUCUCGUGGUGUGGGUUGUGAGAGGGUUCUUCUGUAGUUGGGCACCUGUGGGGAAGUGGCAAAAACAAAAACAAGCUUUAAGGGGAUGUUUAACCUUUUGCUUCCAGCUAAGAGCUGGAAGAUAUGCUUUCUACAACCAGGAAGCAAUUUCUACUGUUGAGCAGGUGAGCUCAUUUCUUCCCAAACUCACAAGCAGUGCUGAAGAGACAUCCCAGUGAUGUGCCCACAGCACUCCCCUAGCAGCAGUGCAAACUUGAGACUUGCCCACCAGCUUCUGCAGCCUAGACCAGGACUGACGAACUGCAUCUAAAGAUCAUCUGGAGAGCAUGUGAUGAAAAACGUUUUAGACUUCUGUAGAAAUGGUCAGUAGAGGAAAAGUCUCAAUCCACUGUGUUUUAUUUUCCCAACCCAUCUCUUUUCUCAGAAAUAGAGCCAUAUGUUAUGUGUAAUUAUUAUAAUCAGAGAUCAGUCAGUCUGUCGUAAUACUUAUAUGACAAAUCAGCAUUAGAGUAAGAUGAAUAUGCACUAAUAUGCUUUUCAGCUUAGAGCAUUAUUAGGAAGUUUGGUAGCUGUUAUGGUGGGUGAUUUUUGUGUGUGUGAUGUGAUAUGAACUAUAAAAUUGGGUGUCCCACAGUACUUCUGUGAAGAGUGGUUAAAUGUUAGAUCUUCAGCAAAGGUCUUUUUUUAGUUCCUUCUGAAACGAAUUUUCCUUUUCACAUUUUUAUUUCUAUAAUAGAAUAAACAUUUAUUUCCAUUAAAAAAAAAACAAAAAAACUGUGAAAUUGGUUGAAUAUACCAUGUUGGGAUAGGAGCACUGUGAACAGGUAAAGGCUGUAAUUACAUGAAAAGCAUCUGCUCAGUCCAUCAGGAAGUUACUGGUUUUUGGAGGACUACAUUUUGUUUCAGUCCACAGGUAAAACUUUUGUCAUGUCAGAAUGUUCGCUGUUCCUCAAGGUAAUGUUCUCCACUCAUAAAAAUGGGAGUGCCAUUGUGAUUCUUAAUCAUGUUUUAUGUUGGGACACAGUAAAUAAGGAAUGUGAUUAACAUUUUAUAAGCGACUUUUUAGGGCAGGCAUAAACAUUUAAUCUGUAUUUCAUUUUUCAGCUGUUGGUUGUAUAACACUUUAGAAACAUUCUUGUUUGGGGUGGGGGGUGAAUAUGUAUGGAAGAGGUUUCACUGUAGCUGUUUUAAUCUACUUGAAAGGACAGAGCUGAUAGAUGGCUUUAAAAUUAGAUACCUGAAGUGUUUCGUACAUAAAUGCUUCUGAUUUCUGGUAGAAAGGUCAGUGUUGAUGUGUGAUGCUGGAGUGAAGAACUUGGGAAUAAUAAAUUCAGGGGAACUUAACAGCAGUUUAUAAGAGUUAGUGCUGGUUUUUAAAAACUGAAGCAGAACAGAAAAAUACCUUCAGUGACUGCAUCUCCUGGCAUUAAGGAAGAGAAGGCAGUGUGUGUUUAGGAUCACUAGAGGGAGCCUAGAGGAAGAAGAGGGGGAAGCAUUGAAGACAUAUUUGCAUUUUUAGGAGCAGCUUGCACAGAACCAUCCAUUUAAUCCUUACUGCUUCCUUCAUCUACAACACAUCUGCAGGUCACUACUCUCUGUUCUCACACAUUCAGUUCAGAGAUCUCAGUUUUCUAGCUCUGAGAGAGGCCAGAAGCUUGGCUGCCUUUUAGGUGGGUGUAGGAAAAAAGACCUACCUCUCCAUGUAUCGUACCCCUUUUUACCUUCUUUUGUGUUUGAGUGAGUAGGCAUGUGUUGUUUUUCAGUGCAGGUAUGUGCAUGCUGGAGAUAUACUGUAAAUGAUGGAGAGCUUUAGUGGCAUCAGUGUAGAAUGGUCACAUUAUGGGGGUUUGGGGGAAAAUGAGCAUCUGCAGGCUUGUAUUGGAAUACCAAAGCACAAAGUUACUGUAAAAUCUCUCAUUCUGUGGGAUUUUAGAAAUGUCACUCAACACACUUUUUGUAUUGUUCUGUUGUAAAGCUGAGUGCUUCGAAGUGUGAUGUUUCCAUAGGGCAGAUAAACAAUGAAAGUAAUUUGUUUUAGCUCCCCUCACUCCACACCUGAUAAACUGCCAUAAUUUUGAUUUCCUGGGCUCUGUAAGAGAAGGAAGAAAUCCUGUUGGGUGGGUUCCUUUAGUUUUGGGGGUUUUAAUCUUUUUAGUAUUUUAGGGAUUCUCUUUUCAAAUAAUUUCUGGGCUGACAGUAUCAUGAGAUUUUAGUACUAAGCAUUGUUAUUCCUGUCAAUACAGAACUUCCAUUAUUGAUACCCUUACUGAUUGCAGAAUGCUUUUCAUGAGCAUUAAGAUAUUUGCAAUGUGGCUUUUGAGAGCUUGAUUUCACAUCUGAAGUGUGUAACUGACAA